rnacentral:rRNA from 1 species
GUGAGGAAUAUUGCGCAAUGGAGGCAACUCUGACGCAGCCAUGCCGCGUGCAGGAAGAAGGCGCUACGCGUUGUAAACUGCUUUUAACCGGGAAGAAACCCCAGGACGUGUCCUGGGUUGACGGUACCGGAGGAAUAAGCACCGGCUAACUUCGUGCCAGCAGCCGCGGUAAUACGAAGGGUGCAAGCGUUAUCCGGAUGCAUUGGGUUUAAAGGGUGCGUAGGCGGAGCGUUAAGUCAGUGGUGAAAUCCUGCAGCUUAACUGUAGACUUGCCAUUGAUACUGGCGCUCUUGAGUGCGCUGGAAGUGGGCGGAAUGUGCCGUGUAGCGGUGAAAUGCUUAGAUAUGGCACAGAACACCAAUUGCGAAGGCAGCUCACUAAGGCGAUACUGACGCUGAGGCACGAAAGCGUGGGGAUCGAACAGGAUUAGAAACCCCGGUAGUCC